rnacentral:rRNA from 1 species
UCGCACGAGAAAGKGKAGCAAUMCMUGAGUACAGUGGCGCACGGGUGAGUAACACGUGAMUYAUCUACCUYCGAGUGGGGAAUAACYKAGAGAAAUCUSRGCUAAUACCGCAUAACACUUACGAGUCAAAGCAGCAAUGCGCUUGRAGAGGAGKUCGCGGCAGAUUAGUUAGUUGGCGGGGUAAUGGCCCACCAAGACGAUGAUCUGUAUCCGGCCUGAGAGGGCGCACGGACACACUGGAACUGAAACACGGUCCAGACUCCUACGGGAGGCAGCAGUGGGGAAUUUUGCGCAAUGGGGGAAACCCUGACGCAGCAACGCCGCGUGGAGGAUGAAAUCCCUUGGGAUGUAAACUCCUUUCGAUYGGGAMGAUUAUGACGGUACCRRWAGAAGAAGCCCCGGCUAACUUCGUGCCAGCAGCCGCGGUAAUACGAGGGGGGCAAGCGUUGUUCGGAAUUAUUGGGCGUAAAGGGYGCGUAGGCGGUUUGACAAGUCUGAUGUGAAAUCUCUGGGCUCAACCCAGAGUCUGCAUUAGAAACUGUCGGGCUUGAGUAUGGGAGAGGUGAGUGGAAUUUCCGGUGUAGCGGUGAAAUGCGUAGAUAUCGGAAGGAACACCUGUGGCGAAAGCGGCUCACUGGACCAUAACUGACGCUGAGGCRCGAAAGCUAGGGGGAGCAAACAGGAUUAGAUACCCUGGUAGUCCUAGCCCUAAACGAUGAUUGYUUGAUGUGRCAGGUAC